UGAAUGAGUUGAGUAAAUGAAUUUGAUAAUAAAAUGUUCGUGUUUUGAUAGUUUCUCUAUCAUCUGCUCUUGAUUUUGGAUUAGAAAUUUUCUGAUAAAAUUGUGAUCAAUUCUUUGUAAUUACAAAUUUUUCAUUUGCAAGUGCAUUUAGAGUUGACUGUUGGUUGGGAAAAGGUUUCACUGUAAUUGACACUUGCAACAAGUUAAAGAUGAACAUUAAUUUUGAUUAUCAUAAAGGAGGAUCCAAUUAGUUGUUUAGGUAGUGAAUUAUUGAAUUAAUGGUCGAUUGUUGAAACUUUAAAUGAUUUACUUGGAAAGAGUAAAUGGUUAAUCAUUGAGAUUCGUGUAGAUGUUAUUAAAUGUAGAGACAUUGAAGGAAACUCUGGGAGGUUUCAAUCUUGUAAGAUAUAACCAUGAUUCUGGUGUUGCUCUCAUGAAUUCAUCAUUACCUUUUGAUCCUUUUAAAUUGAUGAUUAGGUGUGGUUGGUGAGUCAACCUAGAAAAUAAAUUGCUUUUUGAUUUGUAAUUGAUCAACUGAACAAGUAAAGACAAAAAUGAAAAUUUACUUUUGUUGACUCACAAUCUUUAUCGAUAAUUUAUCGAUCGCCUUCAGAUUAUUAUACACAUUUGGAGGAGGUUUCAGGGUAACUGAACAGGAAAUGGGCAGUUCAUUUGAUUGCUAAAUAAUAACUUUACUUAUGGAUUCUCAUUCAAGUUGUAACAAUCACAUGAAUUGCCAAUACUAUUACCAUUACUAAUAGAUUGCAAUGAACUAGUUCACUAUUGUUAUUAACAUUUUAUUGAUAUUAUUUGGUCGAUCAUCAAAUUGACCAACAACUAUGAGUUGUAAGUUUCAUCAAAGGUAAGUUGAUUGAGAAAAAAACUAAUAUGAUCAAUGAUUAUCAAUUGAUUGUGAGAAAGGAAUCAUUAAACGAAACAUUGGAUAUAAAUCGAUAUAAAAACUACAACCAUUCAGAUAUACUGAAGGAAGGAUAUUUUUGUUUAUAUAUUUUACUCAACUUGACUCGAGUUGUUUGCUUUUAAUGCAAGUUAAUUAACAGAUAGUUGAAUUAAACCCAAUUAUUUUAAUAAACAUUUUUCUCUCUUCCUUCUGUCUAGCAAUUUACACUUCAAGGUAAACAAUUAAUCUCAAUAAUAUCUCAUUAAAAAAUGUUUAGCUGGGGUUUCUGGUGAUGUUAGGUGAAGUCAAUUUCAAGUCAUUUGAAGCUCGGGUUGAGUUGCAUGUUUGAUUGUUGAGGCACUUUUAAAUUCAAUUCACAGAGACUUUAGAUUGUAAUUUGUAGCAUAUUCAUCAAUAAUAUAUAAAUGUCUUGAAGUCCAAUGAUUUAGAUGCCGAGUUGUUUUGAUGAUUUACUGGUUUAACCACAAGGAAGGAGGAUUCAAGUAUGAAGGUGAAACAAUUAGCUAAAUUAACUGGUAUGGGUUUGAAAAUAAUCGGGUUUUAAAAGUGAAAUUGUUGGCGUAGGUUAAUAAGAUGAAAUAAUUUAUGCAAAGUUGACUGUGAACAGAAAUUGGCAAACAAUCAAUCAAUCAGUUUAGUUGUGAAUAAAAUAAAACACUAAGAGUGUUUGCUUUUACACCAAAUAGUAACACAUACACAACCUUCAAAUGUAUCAAUAAGUAAAUUGGUCUUUUCCGUUAACCAGACUGAAACACAUUAAACGAAAAAAAUAAUGUCCAAGAAUUAAACGAUUGUAUAAUCAAUAAAUGGGGAAAAAUAACAAUAUAAAUAAAAUUGCAAAAAAAAGCCAAUCUUAAAAUUAAAAGCAACUGUAAGAAUAAGGUUUGUCGUGUAAAUAGCCUAAUGACUUAAGUUUAACAACAUCUGACAAUUGUGAGACUAUUUCCACCAAUUUAUCUGGUUGGGUCAGUUAAAAAUGUAAUUGACUUCAUAUUUGUUUUGUGUAAUAAAUUAAUUUUUUAUCAUUAAUUGGAAUUUUAUUAUUUAAUUGUGUGAUUAUUUUACCCUAUUUUAUACUGUAUACAUCAUUGUUUUACAUCAAUCGAUCAAAAUAUUUCACCAAAUCUAUUAUUAAUGGUGAAUAAAUGCGAGGGAAAUCAAUUUUCGGCUCUUCUACUUGCUCAACAAGAUAUAUAUCAUGUGCUCUCUGUGAACCUAAAUAUGUGUACUCUUUAUGUACAUUAUUUAAACUGGUUACAUUAAUUGAAUUAAAAAAAGUGAUAAAUGCAGCAAUGUUCAAAGACGAAUUACCUUUAUGAUGUUGACAUGAUUUUUGAUGAGAAAGCCUUUUUUUCAAGAUGCUGCCGAGGAUAAAGAGGAUUCUGGUGAUCAAGAUUCUGGCAGAGAAACUGAAAGUUCAAUGCCAAUCAAGAUUCCAAAUUGUUGGCUGUUUUUUUUCUUGUAUCAUCUCUACUUUAGGUUAAUACAUAUUGAAUGCAUGGUUGAUCUUAGGUUAUAAAGAACAGGAUAAGAAUAAAAUGGAAAAGAAAUGAGAACAACUCUUAACAGUUAUCUGUUGGUUGACACAAUGAGACAUAAAUUGAACAGAAUACAUAUAUUUAUGUGUGUACAUAAUGUGUCUAGAAAAUGGUCUGCAAUCUUGAACAUUCAUGGAAACUGUCAACAAUUUAGUUAUUCAUGAUUAUUCAACGUCCAUUCCUUAUCAAUCUUGUUUCUCCCCAUAUUCAUUGUUAUUUUCAUCAUCCAUUACCACCCUCUCUGGAUAACCUGAAUGGACACUCAUUUAAGUUAAUAGUGACAGAUGAACAUGAUGAAUUGGUGUUUACCUUUACCAACAAUGAAACAGAAACACAAUAAUAUACAAUAACUGUAACUUUUGUAGCAUUAUUUUCAACUAUUUUUACUCAAUUCAAGUAAUGCAUAAGAAAUGCUUUUGAUGAAUGGUACAUAGGAAGACUUAAAUAACUAUUUACCAUAAUGAAACAAAUUGUUGAUCAAAACCUCUCUGCAUUUAUAAUGAUUUACCAGAAAACGAAGGCUUUCAACCCAAAUUGAAAUUUUUUGCUAAAUUUUUUUAAUUGUCCUCUUAAGUCGAACCUUUCAACUCGAAAUGAUUCAAAUGAUAAUUACAAUUAUUGAUACAAAUUCAGGAGCAAGGAUUGAACCGUAAUUAUAAUUCAUAAAGAUUGAAAUGAAUAAAAUCAAUCCUCGAUGAAGCUUGAGUGAAUUGAAGCAAAAAAUGUCUUUCAAUGGUCAUUUUAGUGUUAAUUAAUGUAUAAUUUGUUAAUUAUAAAGUCAAAGUUGACAAGUUAAUUGUAUAAAAAGAUGAAUGUAACAAGGUUAAUUGAUGUGAAUAAAGUAAUUCAAUGUUGA